GAAGAACUGGCGUUAGUUUGGUUGAUUGGGUCCGUCCUUUCACCUGCUCCAGGAUUUUGGGGCCAAAGAAAUGUCAGGCAAAUUGAAGACGAACUUCGUUUCUGGCUGUCGUGAAUGAUCUGGUGGACAUCUUAAGUUCAUGCAGACACGUGCCUGCCACUACUGUCCGAGAGUUCUUUGCAUCCGUGUUUCAUUGGAACCGAACAGUGACUGGACGAGGCAAGCUAACGCCAAAAAAGCUAACUAGUGUGCUAAGUAGGCUAACAGCAUGGAAAGACUGGAUGAGGUCACAGUGUCGGUUUUAAAGGGUAAUGUAUGCAAAUUUUAUUUUUAAACAGAUUAAAUGGACUUAUGUUUUACAUAGGUGUAUGAACACGGAAGUGUGUAAAUUACAUUAUUUUAUAAAUAAUGU